GAGCGGUGAGCCACCAACCACAUAAAAAGAAGAAAAGUGAAUCCUCAUUUCCUAAAUGAGAAGCUGUAAGAAGGAGAAGGAGAAGCAAUUUACUCCUGAUGGGUAGAGAUAUGAAGGGAGAACCUCUCUGCAUACCAGCGGUGAAAUCCCCUCUGGUUCUAUCCAGCUCACGGAACAAGUAGCACCACCAGCGGGAGGCUUCGCCCAUCCACCAGGACGUCAUUACAUCCCUUUUUUUACCACCUGUGCGUUCCCAAACCAGUAGCGAAGGCAGGGAAUUCAGCUUCAGAAUUGGAACAUCUUCCUUGAUGGAACAAGAACAGCAACGCUAAAGAAAAAAAGAAGUCUAUAACUAUGAAUGUUUUUACAGAAAAGACUUGUUCUAAUAAAUGAAUGAAAGGACAUUUGUAAUAAUUGUGAUAAUAAAUUAGACUG